UUUGUACUCCCUCAGUCCGAAAAGGUUUGUCCCAAACUUAUCCCUCAAAUGGAUGUACAUAGCAUUAACUUGGUGCUAGAUACAUUCAUUGGAGGGACAAGCUUUUUCGAACGGAGGGAGUACCCC
rnacentral:pre_miRNA from 1 species